UAUUAAAAUCAGAACAUAGAUUUAUUUGUUUUCAAAUCUUGUAAUGAAGUGUCAUUAUUUAUCACGCUAAAAUUAUCGCAACCUCUAGUUAAUUAUUUAUUUAAUAUAAAUCUCGAAUUAAUAGAUCAGCAAGUAUUGCUCCAACGGUCAUUUUAGUUUGUUUAUCUUCAGAAUAUGUAAAAAACAAGGGGUGGGGGCACAGAUUUACCAUUUUACGAAAACAUUCUUACUGUAUGACCAGUUUGCUUAUCUUAGUCCUUUUUUUCUCUCUUAAUCCUAUGCCUUCUCUCUUGGUUUCCUCCGAUUGAUCUCACCGUUUCGCAGACUCUUGCUGUUUCCAUAGAGCCGAAGUCGAUCUUAUUUUGUGUUAUCGAUCUUUCUGGGAAGAGUGUUAUGGCGUUUCGUGGUAUCCUCUCCGUCAUCGUCUUUCCGGUGGAAGACUUAUGAACUGAAAUUGUUCUGUCUCCUGGAUAUGAAGCUUUGUUCUCUAAUUCGUCUGGACUAUUCAUCAUAGGAGGAGUCACAAGCCGAAGGUUUAUAGUCAUGGAUGGCUUCCUCGCCUUGUCUUCUUUCAAAGAAGCUCUAUCAAAUCUGCAUGCUAUUCUGUGUUUUGUAAAGGUUUCUUUUUAUCUGUCACUCUUGCCUUCUAGUUUAGAUUGAUUAGUUGUUUAGUUCUAUGUUUUGUAUCUUUGUCUAAUCUUUGUCUCCCUUGUGUGGACUAUUGUCUCCGAGAA